rnacentral:sRNA from 1 species
CGAUUGUCCCGAAGCUUCGGGUGGAAAUCCUUUUCUUUUUUUCUUUAAAAAAGAAAAGAUUGGAGUGUACAGCGGGAUUAACU